rfam:Triticum urartu cultivar G1812 contig750307, whole genome shotgun sequence.
UAGGUACUCCCUCCGUUCGGAAAUACUCGUCGGAAAAAUGGAUGUAUCUAGAUAUAUUUUAGUUCUAGAUACAUUUAUUUUUAUAUGCAUUUCUUCGACAAAUAUUUCCGGACGGAAGGAGUACAUA